rnacentral:lncRNA from 1 species
GGGGUAUCAACGGCGGCAAGCUUACAGUUUAACUUGCUUAAAUUUUAUUUAAGUCAGUUUAUUGAAAUAAAAUUGAAAAUGGAAAUGGGGAAUGUGUCAAAGAGAUAGCAACCCGACCAUAGAAAAAACAGCAGCAGAAGGUCACCAACAGGUCUUCAAUGUAGCGAGAAACUCCCGCACCCGAAGGCGUCCUUCAGCUGGCCCCUAAACAAAUAUAUACUAGUUCAGUGAUAAUGAACGCCAUACUAAUUUCCAAAUUGUACACAAGAGACUAAAAUUAAAAUAAUACAAGACUAACAAAGGCCAGAUGCUCCUGACUUGGGACAGGCGGGAAAAUGCGGCGGGGUUAAACAUGUUUAUGAGAUCUCAACCCUCCCCCUAUACCUCUAG